rnacentral:lncRNA from 1 species
UUUUUUUUUUUUUUUUUCUCUUUUAGGGUCGCACCCUUGGCAUCUGGAAGUUCACAGGCUAGGGAUCAAAUCAGAGGUACAGCUGCUGGAUCACACCACAGCCACAGAAACUCAGGAUCCAAGCCCCACCUGCAACCUACACCACAGCUCACAGGAACGCCACAACCUUAACCCACUGAGUGAGGCCAAGGAUCUAACCUGCAUCUUCAUGGAUCCCAGUCAGGUUCGUUUACUGCUAAGUCGCAAAGGGAACUCCCCAAAGCCAAUAACUUAGAGAACAUUUACUAACACAAAAUCCUGGGAGAGACGCUGACCCCAAAGAGAGAAGAUGAAGCGAUGGUCUGGAAAGUGUGAACUCAUGAGGCAGAGCAAGGUCAGUUCCCCAAUAAGCGCCCAGAGUUGCUGGGUGAAAGCGGGGUAACGGCUGAUAGGCACAGUUGAAAUAAAGAGAUUUGGAGAGGAAUUCGUAUUCUCACCCUACAGGAAUUUAUUUUUAAUUAUAGAUAAUUAUGCUGAAUUACAACAAGAUGAUUUGAACCAUUACGCUAAUUCAGGAGUAAUAAAGCAUGAAUUACUGAUGCAAUUUUUAAAAAUGUAACCUAUCAAUCAACACUGGAUCAGCAACAGACAAAGGCUCUGAUGUGACAUUCGUAUCGUACAGGAUUAUAGUUAAAAAUGGCCUUCCACUUACCCCUUAAGAGCCCCCAGCGAGCGAUGAGGUGGGAACACCGGGACUCUGUGAAGAGCCCCGUGAAGAUACCCGUGCAGGGGUACCCCUCCAGGCUACCCCUCCCCGCGGGCUGGCUCUCAGAAUCCCUGGUUUUUAGACAUAGUGGAACACAAUACUUUGUGUCUGGUCAGACCUUGGUUCAAAUCCCAGCUUUGACCUUGGCUAGCUAUAUAACCUUCAGAAAGUAACUUCCAUUUCUCCAAGCCUCGGUUGCCUCAUCUAUAAAAUGGGAACAAGAGCCUAACACACAAGGCUCUUCUGAUGAUUGCAUGAUAAGGUCCAUAAAAUUUCUGAGGCAGUGAAAAUUCAACAGCUGGUCAGGGGGAUAAGGUCCUGCCCUGGACUGAGGUCACUAAUAGAAUCACAUGUGGCUCUUAUGCUGAAAAACUAGCCCCUAGCCUUCCAGGGAGCUCCUCCAGACCCAGUUUUGUUCAGCGGGACAGAGCAGCCUGUCUAGUUUUCAUGUAACAUUUCAUGAGGUGAGGCUCACAGUCAAAGGAUGGUUCCUGAGCUGGCAGGUCAAGUAAGAUCCAUCAGUCGGUGCUCGGAGAAAGUGCUGGGCUUGCUGAUGAAACAUCUGCCCAAUGUGUAUUCUCUCUCCUGAACCUAAGAGGCCAUGUCUGAAGACAACAAAGACGGGGGAGGGUGGGGGAAGGAGAUGAUAAAUGUCUCCCACACAGUGACUGCUAAUUUCUAUAGCAAGACUGGCGACCUUACUCAAAGUGAAAAGACUUCACGAAGAAGAGGGGGAAAACCCAGGAUUAAGCAUUAUCUAUGAGUCAGUUUUGCUUGCAUAUUAUUACAUAAUGCCCUCUUUAGAGAGGAACAAAACAGAAAAAUAUUGCCCAAGUUCAUAGAGCCAGUCAUUGGUAGAGUCCGGAUUAAAACUCAGAUCUUUCUUACUCCAAAAAUCACAAGCUUUCAGUUAAACCAUACUAUCUUUACCAAAAUAACUGACUUGUAUUUCAUGGUGCUGCUAUUUUAAGUAGAAGGGGGAGAAAAGAUGGUGGGUGUGGAAGGAAGAAAACCCAGAAUGUACCUAUAAGAACUGCAAGUAAGUCAAGAAGAAAGAACCUAUCCACACACAAGCUGAACAGAAAUGAAUGACCACACACACAAAAGCACUGGGCACAAAAAUACAUGAUCCAUCUCAGGCUAUAAGACCUUUGUAUCGCCUGGGAGCCAGAGUUAACCAGACGAAAUGGCAAAGGCAAUGAGGUCAAUGGCCUGUGGAGGGCAGCAGAGAGUUGGGGUUUGAUGAGCACCUUUGGCUCCCAAACUCGGGGUAGAGGUGGAAGUCAACAAAAAGCCUUGCCUCAGAGAGACUUUAUCGAUAACUGAGAAUCAACUGGGCUCUGUGCAAAGAGGUCACCCUCGGUCAGGGUAGACCUGGAGACGGGUCUUUGCAUUUGGGUCCAGACAGGCAUUUGCAUUAAGGCAGGGUGGCAAGAGGGCUCUAACAAGAGAUCAAGCUGCCCAGCAGUGAGUUCAAAGACCAUGGAUUGUGAAUGGAGUUAGAGCUGGGCACACGCUGGGGCUUGAACACACUCAGCUCUGAUGGACAGGCGUGGCUUAGUGCCCUGUGUUCCCUCGGGGCAAGAAAAUGGAGCUGGGUGGGCACAGUCCUACUAGGUUACUUGACUGACCCUCAGAAAGCAUUUGAAUUUGAGACACCUGGUUUUAAAGAGAUGUUAUCCCAAGAGAUAACUUUGACAACAGUCAUCACUGCAAUUUUCAAUGUCAAAGACAUAAGCAGGAUUCAGAGCCUACACCAUUUCUUUUCCCCUCCACCACGUAAGGGCAGAUUUCUCAUACACAUCACGGAAUGGGCUAAAAGCGGAGACAAUCUGACCACCACCGCACCCCCCCACCGCCAAAAAAAAAAAAGAGUAAAGACAAUAUCCACAUUCUCAUUAACAUCUUAAAUUUAAGGAGAGCCUACAUGGAUCUGAUCCCAUAACCAGUCUAGUGAACGCAAGGAUGCAUGUGGUAUGAUCACUCCCCGCCGUAGUGUAAUUGGGGAAAUGGGAUCCGUACUACGUAAGUAGGUCUGCAAUGCCGCCUUGGCAUCUGUUAAAUGCCAAGUAAGAGUGUAAACAAUAAGGGCUAGAGGUAUUCUAAAGUUUAUUGUGGGCUGAGAUGGUUUAGGUUGACUUCACAAAGAAGUAGAAUAUUAACUGGGUCUUGGAUAAAGGUUAGGCUUCAAUAGUUAGAACAAUAGAAAGGAGGGUAUUCCAAGAAAGGGACACUGCAUGAGCUCAAGAGAGGCAGCAGGAAGAUGUGGGGCCAAGGUUAGGGACGACGAGAUCAGCCUGGCUACAGUCCGGAAUUCACGCGGAAAGAGGAGCAUGCAUGCAUCCCGGGACUUUAAGAAUAAUCCCACUCUCAGGUUUGUAAGACCACACAGGUUACCAUGGCCCCUAAUCUUUAAUUUGGGAAAAUGAGAUUAUCAUACAUCACCACUCCCUAAACUCUGAUACACUCUUGAAGCCAGGAAAGUUAAGACCUGUUGAUAAUUCUACCUUUGUGUCUCUACCAUAGUAUUUGGGACUUGGACGGCUCAAUGAACCCAGGACCAUUUGUUCUCUGUACUUUGAGGGUUGCAUUCCCAAUGAAUAUUUACUUAUCAAAGACCAUAUUAGGGCCUAAGGCUGAGUUUUCAGGUGUAUAUUCCAAAGUUAUUUUUUUCCUUUUGGAAUGUGCAAUAUAUCACAAGAGCCUAGCUUUCGAAAUGAAACAUCAUUGAGCAAAUGCAUCCAUCUAGCUUAAGUGAGGCAUUUCUUUUCUCCUUACCGCGUAAGGGCAGGUCUCAUAUGCGCUUAGCAUCCACUGAAGGGCGAGCAAAUCACACAGUGUCUCCAAACAGCUGUGUGUGGCAGACUUGAACUUUUUCUUUUUUCCUUAAGGGACAUAUGAUUACUGGAUGGUUUUAGGAGACAAUUCUUUAUAACUAAUAACAGCAGAUGUAACUCAUUCUUCUUCAUUAAUUCACCCAUCAUAUGCAAUUUUUGUUAUAAAAGCUUUGCUAGAGAAGAAAUACCUGUUUGUGACUGAAUAGAAGAAGGAAUGAAUGAGUAGAUACCAACAGAAGGACUGCUGAUGAUACUUUCAAAAUGUUUCUCCAAGUGUAGGCAGUGGACCCCAUAGUGAAGUCAGCCAGAUUGCUGAUCUAAAAUGCGGGGCUCUCCAAGGUAAGGCUUGGAAGUGUGCACCUUAAGUUCCUGGGUGAUUCUCAUAGCUCUGAAGGCUAGCAUCUUUGCCUCAGAGGAAGGUGCAAGCAGAACUUGGGUGGACGUGGAAGCUGAGCUGUGCAGUAUCUGAACAGAUCCUGAUGGUAGUGGGGAGAAGCCAGGAGAGAGAACCUCAGUUAGGCAGAAGCACUCUGAUGUCUGCUCUGAGGGGGUGGUUUGCAGAACUAUACUUCAAUUUAAAAAAGAAGAUAAAUUUGAAAAAACUAAAAAAAAAAAAAAAAAGAAAGAAAGAAAGAAAAGAAAACAGUAUUGGGUCUGGGACACUGAGCCCUGCCUCCUAGGAACGAGACACGUAAGAUGUCACAUACCAGCACAGACAAUGACGGCUCCCAGGACACUGCUGCUGCCUUAGGUUUGCCGCUGCUCUUAGCAUCUUUCCAAAAAGGGGCCAUCCCAACCUGGUGGUAAGGAAGAAGCUCCCCAGAGCAGGACAGAAUCCCACGGGGCAUGUCAGAGCAGACAAAGACUGGGUCCUAUGGGAGGAGUAAGUGGCUAUUAUAAGUUGUUUGGGCUUCUAUCUGUAGGUGACAGGGACCUCAAGACAUUUGCUUUUUAAGAUGAGAGCUGAUAUAUCCAAAAGUGCACUUGAGAAGAUGCAGCUGAGAAACAUGUACAGGUGGGAGGGGGCAGAAAACACAGGCAGGGAAUCCAGUAAGAAGAUUGCUGCUCAAGUUUACCCAUUAGAGUCCGUCUCCGUUUCCUGGAGAGUUUUCACAUUUCUGGCCAGUGCUGAUUAUUUCCGACUGACUCUCGAAAGUGUAGACGUUCUGUCUUAUCACUCUGUGUGUUUCCCACUAUGUAUGGUGCUGAAAUGAACCAAGCCAUGCCCAUCUCCUGGUAAUGACAAUACACUUGAUGUCUACUUCAAUGCAAAUCACAGUUAUCAGCCUUUUAUUUUUUAAUUCACCAUAUUAUUUUUUUUAAUUCACCCUACAAAUACGUACCAGAUUCAUAUUUUGUUCUGGAAUGAUGAGAGACGUUAUCUGCCCCCAUGGGCAGUGCCGUUCACUGCUUCCAAUGGACACGGAGGUGGGAGUGUGUGAGGGUGCUGCAGGUGCAAAUAACACCAGCAAAGGUCCAGGGACCCCGAAGAGAACUAUCUCCUCCAGGGAGGUAAGAACUGCCCCACAAGAGAUGGGGUAGUGGCAGUGGAGGAAAAGCAUGACCUUGAAUGUCCAAAGGAGUUUGACAUGUAACCUCCAGACACUAGGAAGCCAUUGAAGGCUUUGAAGCAGGUGAGUUCAUGGACCAGAUCUGGGUUUUAGAACAUAAACUUUCUAAGCAAGCACAGCAUGAACUGGCAAAGGUAGAUUCCUGGGAUGGGCACGUUCACUGGAACGUGGCUGCCACUGUCCAGGUGAAAGACGGUAGGGGCCCAAGUGAAGGCGCCAAUCUGAAGAGGCCAAAAGACCACGAGGAGAUCAAUCUAUAAGCCUAAGGAGGAGCUGAAAAACAUCCCUGCCCUGAUGACCACGUGGUCCAAAGAAUGCCGCUGAUUAAACAUGCCUCAGGGAGGAAGAGUGUGUACGAGGCAGGCUGACACCUUGGGUUCUAAUUCGUUCCUCACUGCAGUUAGAGCAUCACGGUUUGCACUGAACUCACAGACCUGGCCACAGCCCUCCGCUGCUCUGAGCUCUCGCGUGGACCACCUUCCUCAGCCUCAUCAAGUUCCAACUCAUUACCGCCUAGGCCUACAUUCAUCAGCUGCCUGCUUGAUGGAAGUGGUGGCAGUAGGUGUCCUUUCAGGAAAGGGUGGCUACAUGGUGAAUUAAGAGGCAGCGCCUACCUUUUUUUAAAUCAAUGUUUUGAAUUAAUUAAUACCUAAUAAUUCAAUUUUUUGAAUUAAUUAGUGCAAGAAACAUUUCCUGAGCGCCUCUGUGUAACCAGUACAUUAUCAAAGUAGCGAAAAGAACAGACAAAAAUCCCCACCCUCGUGUAGGAGACACUCUGGUGAGAGAGGCAGAUAAUACCCAGCAAGAAAGUAAUAGGGAGGCAGUGACAGUGUUAAGGGGGAAAGGUCGGGAAGAGAAGAGCAGGGGAGGGAAAUGGAAACCUUUACCUGAGGGAGAGGCCAAUGCGAAGGUACUUGUUGGGUAAAAUCCUGAAGGACGUGAGGGUGCCAGCCAAGGGACAGCAGGGGAAGAGCAUCCCAGGCAGAGCACACAGCAAGUGCAAAGGCCCUGGGGUGGGAGCCUGACUGCCUCCUACACAUCCUACCUUACUGAGGCUCACAAGCUCAGAGUCACUGAUUUAUUCAUCUCUCCCAUAAGCCAGACCAUGUGCCAGGCACUUGAGAUACCAGAUGAAUAAGUUUCACUGCCAGUAAAUCCACACAUAGAGACGAAUGACAGGCUGAUGCUGCUUAAAAACUCAAACUGACUCUUCUAACUCACGAGGUCAAUGUUAGUUCAAAGGGACAAUUUGGCUUUUUUCAUUGGCUGUUUUCAGAGAGGGGCAAUGUAUCACUUUAAACAUAAAAUGUCACCCUUAUCUAUUUUAUGUGUAGAGAUGACACAUUUACUAUUUUAUUUGAAAAAACGAUUCUUC